UCUGGAAUACAAGUUACAUGAUUUUGGCUACAGAGGAGUCUCUUCCCAAGAGACUGCUGGCAUAGGAGCAUCUGCUCAUUUGGUUAACUUCAAAGGAACUGAUACAGUAGCAGGAAUUGCUCUAAUUAAAAAAUAUUAUGGAACGAAAGAUCCUGUUCCAGGCUAUUCUGUUCCAGCAGCAGAACACAGGUAAAAAAUUCUGUUCAUUUUCUAAAAUUACUAAUUUUUUCACUCUUGUAUUUGUAACUCAGUGACAUUUUACCUAACUGCAGAGCCAGGUACCUACAAUAAAUCUUCAUGAACUUGAGCAACACAAAU
rnacentral:sRNA from 1 species